ACUCACUGUACAGCCUUAGGGACUUCUUUAUAUACUACUCACACCCUGUGCCAUUGUCAUUGCAGUCAGGAUUCAGUAUGGAUAUGAGGGCUCCUGCUCAGUUUCUUGGGUUCUUGUUGCUCUGGUUUCCAGGUACCAGAUGUGACAUCCAGAUGACCCAGUCUCCAUCCUCCAUGUCUGCCUCUCUGGGAGACACAAUCCGUCUCAGUUGCCGGGCAAGUCAGGACAUUAGCAGUUAUUUAAGCUGGUUCCAGCAGAAACCAGGGAAAUCACCUAAGCUUCUGAUCUAUCAUGCCACCAACAGGGAAGAUGGGGUCCCAUCAAGAUUCAGUGGCAGUGGGUCUGGGUCAGAUUAUUCUCUCACCAUCAGCAGCCUGGAAUCUGAAGAUAUGGCAUAUUAUUACUGUUAUCAGUAUGAUAAGUCUCCUCCCACAGUGAUACAAGUCAUAACAUAA